GACGAACGCUGGCGGCGUGCUUAACACAUGCAAGUCGAACGGAAAGGCCCUGCUUUUGUGGGGUGCUCGAGUGGCGAACGGGUGAGUAACACGUGAGUAACCUGCCCUUGACUUUGGGAUAACUUCAGGAAACUGGGGCUAAUACCGGAUAGGAGCUCCUGCUGCAUGGUGGGGGUUGGAAAGUUUCGGCGGUUGGGGAUGGACUCGCGGCUUAUCAGCUUGUUGGUGGGGUAGUGGCUUACCAAGGCUUUGACGGGUAGCCGGCCUGGGAGGUUGACCGGCCACAUUGGGACUGAGAUACGGCCCAGACUCCUACGGGACGCAGCAGUGGGGAAUAUUGCACAAUGGGCGGAAGCCUGAUGCAGCAACGCCGCGUGCGGGAUGACGGCCUUCGGGUUGUAAACCGCUUUCGCCUGUGACGAAGCGUGAGUGACGGUAAUGGGUAAAGAAGCACCGGCUAACUACGUG
rnacentral:rRNA from 1 species